UGCCUUGCUUGUGGGGCUUGCUAACCCAGGGAUGCACAGGUGUUAGAGGGAAACAAGGAAACAAAUUAGAGCAAGAUUCACAUCCUAAGCAGCAGCAGCAGAAGCCCUCUCCAGGAAAGGGAGCCUGGAUAGAUUGUAAUGCACAUGGAUAGACUGAAAUGCUCAGCAGAUGAUUUUGCUUAAAUCUCAAAUGCAAGCAUGGGAGCAUUUUCCCAAGAUCCUGCAUUAUUCCUGCUGCUAAACAUACUCCAAGAGUUCUCAGAUGUCUGUGCUGUCACCGAGGUGUCCAUCCUGAUGGGACAAUUCCUGCUGCAGCACAGGGCACAUCAGCACUGCUGAAAAAUGGCACAAAUCCUGGACCUUUAAUUGGUUUGGAUAUUGUUCUUCUCCAAAUUGUUUCUGCAGAAGCAUUCACCUCAUUGCAGAAGAAUGGCACAACCUUCACUUUUGGGGAUUACCAGAGAAUUCUCUUCCACAUUUCUCCAAAUCUUCUCAUAGGACAUCUUUAAUAAAGAAAAUUCACUUCAAGUAUGAACACAAAACACUCAAGCAGCACAACUCCUACUUUCCCAUUUAGAUUAAUACAAACAUCUUUCUUAUGUUACUGCUAUUUAAAAGGUAACAAAUAACUACAGACAAUAUUCAACUGCCACCAAAGAAUGUUUGUACAUGUGUAAAUUUAAAGAAUCUGUGACAUGAAUUGAACUAUUUCAAAUCUCCCCAGAGUUCCAGCAAUGCUGGAAAUAACUUUCUCCACAUAAGCACAUGAACUGCCUUUAACUAUCAAUCACAUCCAAGCCCUGCUGUCAUCUCCCCUGACCUUCCUGAUUCUGUUUUACACAACCUCCAGCCCACAUCUUCCCUAAGCAAACUCCUAAUUCCUUCUUUAACUAAACAAGGCCACUUAAAGUUUCUCAAGCACUCUGACAAGACUUCUACAGCUUCUACAUUGGGAUUUGCCAUUUUCUUCCCACACUUUCAAUCCUCAUAGAACAUUUUUGGGUUUAAAUAAAAGUAUUAUGCAGGAUUUCAAAAUUUCCAUGAACAAAUUGGCUUAUUUUCUCCCUUGAGCUUUAUCAUAAAACACAUAAAACAAUUUAAGUGGUUUUAAUUGCACAGGCUCUAGGAAAAAAUAGGAAAAUAUAAUUUGAGUUGACAGAUUAUGCAAGGCAGACUUUAAAAGUAUUUUCAGAAACACUGGAAACAGCAUUAUCAUAAUCU